GUGGAUUUUCACUCAGAUGAUGAUGAGAGUGAAAUUUUGCAAGUCUGCGCUGGUGCAUAAUCGCUCUACCUCCUCCAAACAGUUCACGAGGCAGCAGCGAGGCUUCUUACUGGUUUUCAGCAGACGGCUUCGCAUCACUACCACAAUCCUCCUGGCUUCUCUCCAUUGGCUCCCUGUAUUGAUUUGAACAUUUCACUGAUCACUUUUAAAGCACGUCAAGGUUUGGCUCCAAGCUACAGAGCAGCAAUAUUGACCCCAAGUGAACCAACUUGCAGCUUUAAAGCCUCAGGUGCGGCCCCAGGGGUCUUAAAUCAGAAGGUGAUCUCACCGAGGGUGACCUCAACCUCCUUAAAAUACAUUUUUAUAAGCUUCCGAUGUUGUCUUUUAGCAGGUUUUACCUUUUAUUUCUGUUUAUAUUUCUUGUUUAUCUUUUGUUUUAUUACCACUAUUGCUUUUAUUCUUCCUUGUUACUGCUUUAACACAAUCUUACCUUUUUGCCAAUUUUAACAAAUUCUUAUAGACUUGGGUUUAGGUCAUAUGUCUUAUGUUAGCAGCUUUCCCCCCUCAAAUGUCGUUUUACUUUUUACUGUUCUGUUGUUUCCCUUCUUUGAAAGCUGCUAUUACUUUUAUUUAUUUAUUGUUGUUUCUUUAAAAAAAUAGCUUUUUGUCUUUAUUCAUCUUUUUUUUAGCUUUGUUUUUAAUUUGCAAGUCUUUUUUUUCCCUUUAACUGUUUUUCUUGUUUUUUAUUUGUACUUGUGCUGCAUACUUUUACCCUCGGCCAUCAAAAAACAAAUUUAGACAUGUUUUGUCUGAUGUUGUGUUUUAGGAUCGAGUUUUUAUAGUUUGUGUAUUUUUAAAGGUCUCUGACUGUUACUGUGACUUGUGUUGACAUUUUCUUUUACACUGAUGUUAUUGUCUUCUUGGCUCUGCUCUAACUUAAUCUUACCUCUUGCCUUCGUUAAACAUAUUUUUUUUAACAUGUUUUUAUCUUAUAACAUCUUCUUACUGUUUUUUCUUUCUCAGUUGUCUUGUUUAUUUUUUACUAUCACUAUCAUUUUGAUUUUUUUUAAUCAAUAUUGAUAUUUAUUUCAUGUUUUCCCUCAACUUAAUCUUCUCUUUUGCCAUCUUUAAAGAUAUUUUUCAACAACUGGUUCUGUACUACAAUGAAAGCUCGAUGUGCCAGCGGUCACUGAAGAACUCUGGAAGGUUGAUGUCGUUUCAUUGCUACUGUAAAAUGUGCAAAACAACAAAAUACACUCCACUGAGUGUGUCCAAACGUCUGACUGGCACUGUGUUGUUGUUGUUUUUAAAAUUUUUACUGGCUUAUUGCUUCUGUUAUUUUAUUGGUAUUUAAUUAAAACAUUGAGAUUUUUUUUCUGGAUGUUUUAAUUUAAUUUGCCAUCUCAAAACCUUUGCAGACUUUCUGUGUGUCACUUUUCAAUGCUUGUUAUUUCUAUUGUAUUGGUAUUUUUAUUGACAGUUGUUUACAUUUCAUCUAGUUUGUAUUGAUGACCUUAUCCUUCUUCUGCUUGUCUCUCAAAGCACCUUAAAAAAAUUUUCUAAGGUGCUCAACAGCAUCAUUAAAGUCAUUAUCAUAGUA
ensembl:lncRNA